GACACAGCCACACACCCACCCCAAAACCGCGGGAGGGGGCUGCAGUGUCCGCUGCCGGUGCCUCGCCCCCCGCACCCCCUGGGUGAAACGGCAUCCAGCCCCGCGGGUCUCCGCACCGGCGGGGGUCGCUUCGCACCGGCGGGGGCUGCCCGCAGCGGUGGGGUCGGUUCGCACCGGCGGGGUCCGUCUGUACCGACACCGCGCUCUCCCUGAGGGAAGACACACACCCCCCCCACACACACAUACACAUCCCGCACCGGGAGCCCACGUAACGUUAAUGGCAGCCAUUAGGAGAUACGGUACUUUCCCACUUUAGGCAAGCGAGUUGGCGUGUGACCCACUUGGGUGUGGAAACGCAUUGCCAUCAAAAGAAACCCUGGACAUUUGCAAAUAUUUCUUUGGAAACGCUAUUCCCCUUCUGUGUGACAGAAAGUUUCCACCUACAGGAGCUUCCAGUUAGUGAAGAAGUUAAUUCAGAUUUCAACUACAAGAAUUUGUCAAGCAUACAAGGAAGUACCAAAUUUAUUUACAUCUAGUGGGAAUUUUUUUGCUCAUCUGCACAAGAACAACUGGGAAGGAGUCCAAGGAUCAAUUAACCACCACCGCUGGCAUUAAUCUCUGGGCAGCACAGGUUUGUCCUGAAGAGUCCUUCCCCUUUCAAGAGUCCAUAACAUUGUACAGACAAGUGAAAUGAAAUCAGAAUCAUCAGCAGUGGCUUCAGUUUCACAGCGAAAGCCAGGGCAUCCUCCUGAAUUCCCAACCACCCUCUCUUCCCCUGGUGUCACAGCUCUUCAGAGAGAAGCAGACAUUUAUAAGUAUUGAUUAGCAGCACAGAAACUACAUGGAGAUGACCACCGGCACAAAGAAAAGCAGUAGGUUAGAGAAGAGGAUGCGUGUCUGUGUAUUUGUAUAGAUAAAGUGCAAAUAAGACUUCGGCUGUUCCUGCUGCAGCUUUUAAGGGCAGUGAGCAGUGGCUGGAGCUAGAGGGCCAUGGAUUUCCCUGGCAGAUGGGCCUUCCCCACCCUCCACCAUGGCCACCUCGGGGUCCCUCCCAGGUGCUGCCCCAGCCCCACAGACAGUGUGACCCUCCCGAGCCCCCAGGAGCUCAGGUAGCUGGCUUCCCUGCUGGUCACUGACGGCCUUCAAACUCUGAUACUAGCUUAUUAUCACUUCUGGCUAUAGUCUGGAAUAUUUUUCCAACUAGUUAUCAAGAUAUAUCCCAGUUAACAGCAUCUUGAGAGGUCUAAGGAUGUGCCUAAACCAUCUGCCAUACUAACCCGUUUCAGGAAAAGCAUACUGGUAAAGUCUUUUGCCUAUGUGUGUUUGCAUUUUAUUGAAUUUUUUUUUCUUCCUCCUAAUUAAAAUAAAGUAGGAUAUGUCAUUUGAAGUAAUAUCCUGAUCUUUGCUAGAGUGCCUGCAUGCUAGACUAGAAAGAAUAAUCCAUGGCAUUGCUAGCUAAUCCAUAGCAUUUUACUGCUAAUGAGACAAAAACCUCCCUGAUCUGCCAGCUCAGCUAGUAUGUUGUUAUCUUCUGGUUGUAUCUGAUGGUUUUAUCAUCACAGGACAGUGACAGAAGGGAAGGGCAAAAGAGAAGUGAGUGGAACUCGCUAUGAAAAAUAGUGUGUUCAGCUAAAGCCAACAUUUUUAAGGAAAUUUGGGGAAGGUAGCAUUAUGGUAUCUGGUCUAGGCCUAUUUAAUUCCCUGGGAAUUAAAUAGGGAAUUGAAUAAUCUAGGGAAUUAAAUAGAUUUUAGAAUCUAUUUUAGAUUUUAGAAUCCAUUUUAUAAUCUAUUUAGAAUCUAUAUCAAAACACAGAUUUUAGGAGAAAGCCACAGGAAUAGGUAGAGAGGAAGGAAAUUAAAUAUGAUGUAUUUUUGCACUGGUUAUGUUGCCUGAGUGAUAUUGUUGUUCCUCAACAAGCAAUUUAAACAGAAAUGGAGUAGAUCCAACGAGCUUUUAUAAGAUGCUCUGAUAUGAGACAUGACCUAAAGCUAUUAAAGAAGUUUAAAUUCCUGUCUUUCAAGACUGGAUACACAACCUACCUGAAAAUGGCAAAAUACAACUGGUUUCUAGGAACGUAUCUAGAGUGCACAGAUAAAAAUGGUAAUAGACUGUGACAUGGGUAAUCUGUCGGACUAGAUGGAGGUUGCUCAUGGAAAAGGCAAAUAUGACCUACAAUUUAUGUGUGUAUUGCUAUGAGAGCUAGUGGAGACCUGCUGAAGUUGUUCUACAAGCUGCUGUGCACCAUACUGUGUAUCACUUGGAUCCUAAACUUUCCAGAAAUCCCUUUUAAAGGAGAAGAUGUGUAGAAAGAUUACUAGAGAAGUUUAUUUUCCAACAGAGAAUUGAAAAAAGCAGGCUCGUUCAGUCUAGCAAAGUGAAGUGCACCAUGAAAUAAUAAGCAACCAUAAGAAGGACAAAAGGCAACAGAAAAUUUCAGAACAAAUGAGCAAACUGACCACAAUUAAUUUUCUCUUAGAAAUUAGAAGACUUUUAAUCUUCAGUAGAGGAGAGUUUUGGAACCAAUUUCUAAUAGAUUUAGUGAAUUCUAAAACUUUAGAUGGAGCUUGGUCAAAUUACGACCAGGAUAAGGACAUGAAAACUGAUUAACUAGGAAGUCUUUUUCUGAUCCCAAGUUCCUGUGAAGUGGAAAUGGGAAACUACACUCUAGGAAAAAACUGAUGAUUAAUUUAGAAGAAUAUGAUAAAAUCAUACUGAAAUACCUUGCAGAGAGGACAAGCAAAGUAUUUUGAAGAAAAAAUUACUGAAUUUGGGGAAAGAUUAUAAAAUGUCGUCUUCUUCUAACUUCAUGGUAUUGUAUUUGAUCAGCUUCUGCUGUGUCACAAGUCAUGGCACUUCUCCUGUUGUAUAUUACCGUAGCGUGUCAAAUUUUCAAUCAUAGACCCACCAUGGGAGUACUAGACAAGACCUUUGGAUUUGUUGCAAAAAUAAAGUUGCAUUUUAAAAAGUCUGAGAACUUCCAUUCUCUGAAUUUUGAAAGUGGUUGAGUUUUUGCCACCACAUAAGGCAGAAAAGGCCAAAAAAAAAGCAUAUUUAAAACAAUUUUUUUCAAGCAUCUCAAAACCAUACCCUCUCAUUUAAAGGCCAAGUGGUGCACAGGCCCACUCUCACCUUGUAAGAAGAUUAUCUCCCAGAAACAUGGCACAACAUUUUGUCAGUACAAUACUCCCUUUGACUCUACCAGCUAUAAAAUAAGAUGCAAAGUAGAUUACCUGGGAUGCUUACAACACAUUUUCUGGGCAGCUUUUCAGUGUUUGCUGAAUGUUUCAGAUGUCAAAUUCUUCUGCAACUUUAUUUCUGAUACUUUGGCAUUCUGAAUAAAAUCAUUCUCCUCUGUGGAUUGUUUUAUCUCUACUGUGGUAGCUCUCUCCACAUAGUUUUCUGACUUGGCCUAGGUCAGAAUUCACUCAAGGGAAAUUUGAGAAAGGAAUUUCUCAAAGGAACUUUUGAGAAAAAAAAAAUGGUGCCUUUUUAAAUUAAGAUUCUUCCUUUUUGUGUGCUUUUUUUCCAGUGAAGAAAAGCCUUGGGUCAUUAAUUUUUAUCUACUUCAUGGUAUUUAAUGAUCCAGUUAACAUCUCUACCAACUAUAUUUUCAUGUUUUGGAGAGGCAUGUGGAUUGGGAUAUGGUAGAAUCCGGAGAAAGUCAUAAUAGAGUAGAAAUUAGCAGGUCUGCUUGGCUUGCAAAGCCAUGAAUUUCAUACAUUCGUUAUCUUUUCUCUUGAUUUUCUUCAUUGGUUCAUAUUUCUAGUAAAAUCUUAAUUGCAUUUAAGUCCCAAUGCUGUGUUUGUUUUGGAAGCAAUGUAAAAUCAGCGUUUUGAUUGUGUGUAGUUUUCUAGUAAUUUAUGCAAAAAUGAUCUGGUUUUGUUCCUUUUUGAACAUACUUAUUCUUUUGAAAGUGAAUAAAGCAAACCUAUAGCUGUGUACCUUCUGCUGUACAAUCUGAAGUAGCCCAAGGUACCUCCGAAAUUACAUUGUGCCUCAGGGCAGUCAUGUGCUUCUGCCAACACAGCAUUAACCUCUCUGCUUGUUUACAGUCUUGUAUAUAUGUUAAUUAAAGUAAUACAGCUCU